rnacentral:rRNA from 1 species
UUGGAGGGCAAGUCUGGUGCCAGCAGCCGCGGUAAUUCCAGCUCCAAUAGCGUAUAUUAAAGUUGUUGCAGUUAAGAAGCUCGUAGUUAAAUUUCGGGGUUAGUAGGUUGGUCAUGCCUCUGGUACGUACUGGUCUCACUGAUUCCUCCUUCCUUAUGAACCGUAAUGCCAUUAAUUUGGUGUUGCGGGAAAUUUGGACUGUUACUUUGAAAAAAUUAGAGUGUUUAAAGCAAGCUAACGCUUGAAUACAUUAGCAUGGAAUAAUGAAAUAGGACGUUCGAUCCUAUUUUGUUGGUUUCUAGGAUUGACGUAAUGAUUAAUAGGGAUAGUUGGGGGCAUUAGUAUUCAAUUGUCAGAGGUGAAAUUUUUGGAUUUAUUGAAGACUAACUACUGCGAAAGCAUUUGCCAAGGAUGUUUUCAUUAAUCAAGAACGAAGGUUAGGGGAUCGAA